UCAUUCUUUUACUUGUUUUGCAUGUUAAAGUUCCUUGACCUUUUUGAUAUUUCUGGAAUUAUUUUGUUAGUAUUUCUGCCUGACUUACUUCUUUUUCAUCUCUGUACUGAAUUAAUGGUGAAAACCCUAAAAUUUGGGGUUCAUUCGAGUUUUGAGACUAUGUGCUAUGUUAUUUACUUGUUCGUCAUGCUCUAUUGAUUUCAACUCUGACUUAUUUUGACCUAUUCCAGCUUCUGAAGCUGCUUCAUCUGUUGCUUGGCUAUAUUUGAAACCCUUUUCGUUUCAACCUUUGUUCUUUAUGUGAUUUUAACUUUUUCCAAUUAUUAAACUCAACUAUUGUUUUCAGAAAGGUGUUUGUACUUGACCUUUUACAUAGUUCUGAUACUCUCUCUUUUCUCUACUACUAAGUUGGUGAAGUCAACCUAUAUGACUACCAUGUUUUGAUAGUUCAUUAGCUACUGACUUUUUGUUUGCUAUUGAGUGAUGUUUCUCUUUGUCAUAAGUUCAGCUUCGCAUGCCCGAUGUUUAUGCACUCUUUUAAAAACUAAAUUUCCCUCUAAUAUGACCUUCAAUUGGGGAUUGAUUUCAAAUCACUCCUUGUGUAAUUAUGAUUGCACUCGUGUGUUAUGUAAUUGAUUUUUCCUUUGUUUUACUGAUUUCCCUUGUUUCUUGGAAUGAUUUGAUAACUUCCCUUUCUAAUUUUCGAUUCUCCCUUCUCAACUUGGUUUAUUCAUGAGAACCCAUGUUACUCUCCUUAAAUUAGUGAUUUUGAAAUCCUUGACUCCUUGAAUUUCUAUGUACUGAUUUUCGAUUAUUUCCAUGUUCUGCAACUUUAUUUUGUUUUCUUACUUAUUUGGUUAAGUGAGUAUUUCAAAAAUUCUUUUCUUAAUUAAACCUCUAUGUGCUUACC
rnacentral:lncRNA from 1 species